GCCAAGCAGGUGUACACCAGUCCAUUGCCUGAAAUUCUUGGAGUGACACUAAUGACAUUCUUCAAUGGACCAUCUUCCGGGAGACCUGGGUCCUCUGUGGAACUACGUUGAACAGUCUCACUCCCUCUGAGCCAGGAAUGACUGAAACUGAUCCAGAACAAACUAUGCUCCAUUGUCACUGAAAUCGUUCUGAAAACUGGUGUGCAGAAAUGGCUGGGAUUGGUUGAACAUGCACAGAAGUUUUUGAAAGCAGAAGAUUAAGUGCAUUAAAUCUCUUACAAGAGCAAUUAUCUUUGUAAUAUUGGAUGGAAUAGGGUUUUAAUAAACCUAUGUUUUG